GACGAACGCUGGCGGCGUGCUUAACACAUGCAAGUCGAGCGGUAAGGCCCUUUCGGGGGUACACGAGCGGCGAACGGGUGAGUAACACGUGGGUGACCUGCCCUCAGCUCUGGGAUAAGCCUGGGAAACCGGGUCUAAUACCGGAUAUGACUCCAUGACGCAUGUUGUGGGGUGGAAAGCCUUGUGCGGCUGAGGAUGGGCCCGCGGCCUAUCAGCUUGUUGGUGGGGNGAUGGCCUACCAAGGCGACGACGGGUAGCCGGCCUGAGAGGGCGACCGGCCACACUGGGACUGAGACACGGCCCAGACUCCUACGGGAGGCAGCAGUGGGGAAUCUUGCGCAAUGGGCGAAAGCCUGACGCAGCGACGCCGCGUGAGGGAUGACGGCCUGGUGU
rnacentral:rRNA from 1 species